rnacentral:rRNA from 1 species
AUUGAACGCUGGCGGAAUGCUUUACACAUGCAAGUCGAACGGCAGCACGGGGGCAGUUCUGGUCGCGAGUGGCGAACGGGUGAGUAAUACAUCGGCACGUGCCCGGUCGUGGGGGAAAACGUAGCGAAAGGUACGCUAAUACCGCAUACGAUCUGAGGGUGAACGCGGGGGACCUUCGGGCCUUGCGCCAUCGGAGCGGCCGAUGUCAGAUUAGGUAGUUGGUGGGGUAAAGGGCUACCAACCCGCCGAGCCGUAGAUGGUCUGAGAGGAUGACCAGCCACACUGGGACUUGGGCACGGCCCCGGCUCCUACGGGGGGCAGCAGUGGGGAAUUUUUGACAAUGGGCGCAAGCCUUGUCCAACCAUUCCGCGUGGCGGACGGAGGCCUUCCGGUUGUAAAAUGGUUUUGUGCGGGACGAAAAGGGUCUGGCUAAUACCUGGGGCUCAUUACGGUACCGUAAAGAUAAGCACCGGCUAACUUCGUG